rnacentral:lncRNA from 1 species
GUGAAUGAUAGCAUAGUUCUACAGGAAGGAAGUGAAUGCAGGCCAAGAGAAAAUUUGGGGAAAAAAAUGAUGUGUUCAUGGGGUUUUCUAUGGAACAUUUAGGGAUUCCCACUCUUUAGAAUUCAAAAGAAACUCUAGUGAUACUAGAUUUGGAAAUAUGUGUAGAAGUAAUACAUAAAUGUAAGAUCAAUCAAUAAAAAUGUAUAAUGCACAAUAAGAAAAGAAUGCAGGACAAAAUACUAAGGAGCCCUGCUGUUGAGAGGUCAGCAGAACCAGCAUUGCCACUGAGGAGCACGGAGAAAGCUGGCGAAGCAUGCAGUAAGCAUAAUUCUGUCAGCACCUCCAAGGAGUGUGUAUGCACUUCAACAUCACUUACUCAUCUUAUAUCACCCACAAUGAAAGAGUGCUUCAGAAGAAAGUGCAACUAUUCAACACUUUUGAGUCUUGAAGUGGUGACAUCGGCUUUCUAUGGAACACAUUCUGCACUGGUAAAUUUCAG